rnacentral:rRNA from 1 species
GACGAACCGUGCGAACGUUGUUCGGAAUCACUGGGCUUAAAGGGCGCGUAGGCGGGCCGCCAAGUCUGGGGUGAAAUCCCGCGGCUCAACCGCGGAACUGCCUGGGAUACUGGCGGCCUCGAGGGGGGUAGGGGCGUCUGGAACACUAGGUGGAGCGGUGAAAUGCGUUUGAUAUCUAGUGGAACUCCGGUGGCGAAAGCGAGGCGCUGGGCCCCUUCUGACGCUGAGGCGGCGAAAGCCAGGGGAG